GCCCGGCUAGCUUAAUCGGUAGAGCGUGAGACUCUUAUGAAAAUAAUUCAGAUCUCACGAGAUCAUCUCAUGGGGUUCGACCCCCACGUCGGGCU